rnacentral:lncRNA from 1 species
AUAUGUUUUGGACUUUGGAGAUUAUUGAGCUGAAUUGUUCAUUUAUGAACUUUGUUUCAGGAGUUAUAUCCCGCACUCAGGAUUCAAUUAAGCCCUUGCUUCAUCAGUUUGUCUUGCAGGUCUCAGUUUGCCACAUUACCUUUUGAGUCCAAUGCGUUUUUGUGGUAUUUUUUAUAAGGUUUUUGCUAAAGCUAUGUCUUGGAUUACAUUAGGUCCACUUCUUGUGAAAGCAAGUAUUGAAUUGACAACCGGUUGGACCAAAUGAAACCACAUACAGUAAAUAGGCAACACGUAUGGAAGAGUAUCACGCUCAGUAGGUAUUUUGUCAAAACUUGAUUUUUAGAUGUUAUUCAUUCAUUCAUCUUCACAUGAAGUUCUUGUAAUGUCCACGAGUACAAAUCACCUAAAGCCAACUAUAUGCAGAGAACUGAAAGAACAUGCUCCAAUGCAUUUCAGUAUAUUUUUGCAAUACACUUUCAUGGGGAACGAUAAAGGUGGGUAGAGGAGAGAUGAAAACCACACACACACACAUUAUACAAGGGUUGCUUGAUCAACACAAAUUUAUCUUUAUAUAUCAUAGACAUUCAGAGUUAACCCCAAACUUCUUUUAUUGCAAAUGAGAUCUUCCUCUAUUUUUAUGAGUCACUUAAUAGCGCUUCAUUUUGACAAUUUCUGAUGCCUUCUCAGACCCCCCCCCCCCCCCAACACACACACAGGCACUUUGAUUACCGCCCAUUUUGCCACAUCAGCAACCAUAGGUAGUUUGAUUUUGGUUCAUAGAUCUCUACUUAAGAGAUAGACGGUUCAGAUUAUUUCUUCCUCUUCCCUUUUGUCUUCUUUAGUUUAUCUUCAUCUACCUUACCCCCACCACCACCUUCACUGCACCACAUCAUUACAGCCACCACCUCGCCUAGACCCAUAUCAACACCUUUAUCCAUCACCUCACUAACACCCCACCACCAUUUAAUGAAGUGUUACUAGUGUGGGUGGUGGAGUUGAUGGUGAUGGUGAUGGUGUGAUAGUGGUAGGUGGUACGGUAGAGGUGGUGAUGGGCUGUUAGUAAUAUUAUGCUGGUGUGGUGGACGUAAUAAAGGUGAACGUUGGUUUUAAUGGUGAGUAGAAGAUAAAGAAUGAAGAAGAUGAGAGGGGAGAGGAAGAUACGAUCUGGACCGCCUAAUUUAAGUUUCUGAGAUUCCACAUACCAAAAUGAAACCACCUAUGCUGAUGUGCCACGAAUGGUGGUUUUAAAAGAUGGGGAAUCCUUUAAAAGGUAAUUUGGUUAGAAAAUUUCAAAAUAAAAGUAAAGGUAUAAUCCCAUUCUGGAAAAAAGUGGAUCGGUACAUUUAUGCAUGUUUAUGUUCAUUUAUAGGUAGUAUGUAAUCUGACGACUAUGGUCCCAUGAACAUAUAUAUGGGUUCAUGCACUCAAGAAAUAAACGUAAAUUUUUUUAGAAUAACCGAUGAAUGGCUGUAAAGAUAUACUGUAGAUAAAGUCAAAAAAAAGAGUUCAUAAUCUUUUUAUUAACCUAAAUAAGCGAAUUUGCUUGUGAUCCCAAAAGCAAUACUAAAAAAGAUCUAAACCAUAGUCAUAUUCGAUUAGAAAAGGCUUGUGUGUCUCUUACUUCUCUUGUAUUUUUUUGGGAUUCAAUGAAUCAUUUCUUUAAGCAAAGAUCCUAAUUAGGCAUUUUGGUGUUGAUGAUAGGGUCAGGUUUAACGAAUAUGGUUUCUGCUCAGAGGAAAGCUUGACAUGCUUACAUAUCUAUUAUGGGGUCCAGAGUGGAUUUGAUGCUUUGAAAUGCCAAGGCGUACAUGGAACUUCAAGAGGAACUGGAUGGGUUGAUCACAGAGCAAAGAAUUUGAUAGGGGUCACAUUCAUUUUUUGCUGCUGCGAUAAGCAUCUCAAGUAUGGUAAGGUAUGUGAAUUGUCAUCUCAAGCUUCUUUUACGAUUCUAUCAUGUUAGGUAAAUUUUGGAGCCAAAUGCCUAAUUCAACUUCAAAUAUACAUGUUGACUCUAAUAUCUCUUUUCUCUAGUUUUACCUUCAAAAAACACUAGUAAAAAAAUCUAUCAUUUGUACCAUACCUCCUCUAAAUCUGAUUAACAAAUAAAUGCUCCCAAAAAAAUAUAAUCGAAUAGUCAAACUGACUACUAAUGAUGUUAUUCAUAGUUAAACUGACUUUACUAAUGUCAUUCACUAAUUUGACACUGUGGCUUCAAAGUGUUCAUCUUUUAGACAGACUAAAUUAUACAGUUUGAUUAUAGUUCAGUUAAAUCAGUUGUGUAUAUUAAUGUCAUAUCAUAGAAAUGAUGACUACAGUUUGGUGAUAAAAGUUAAUUAUGCUUGAAUAGUCAACAAUCCAAUAGUGGUUUUUAACAAAUAAUGUGAUAUUUAACAAGAAUUUGGUCUAUGCAAUACAUUAUCUGUCGAAUUGGCUGAUGUACAUGCAUGCUUCGACGAUGUUUCUAAUGUCUCUUAAAAUUUUACAACUGCGCAGGAACUGAUUAAUGCAAUCUGAAGGAGGGCCAUGACUUUGGGGAGCUGAUCACAGGUGGAAUGAACUGUUGAGCAAGAAUUGACCUUGACUACAGUAUGGUGAUUAAGUUAAUUAUGCUUGAAUAGUCAACAAUCCAAUAGUUGUUCUUAACAAAUUUUGUGAUAUUUAGCAAGAAUUUGUUCUUUUAAAUACAUUAUGUGUCGAAUUGUCUGCAGUACAUGCAUGCUUCGACGAUGUUUCUAAUGUGUCUUUCAAUUUUACAACUGCCCAGGAACUGAUUCAUGCAAUCUGGAGGCUCAUGACAUUGGGGUGCUGAUUCACAGGUGGAAUGAACUAUUGAGAGAGUAGAAGGUUACAGUAGUCUGAAGUGAUGAGCAUAAAGCUGAUUGACAGUAUCAGCUGGGUGAGUCUUCAGAGUCACAGAAACAUGAAUGAUUCAAAGGCAGGGGAGGAAGUAGAAGCAGUACAAAGGCAGUCUAGUCUAAGUUAGGUGACUGUUGUCUUGUAUUUCUUGUUAUUAUUCUUCUGAUGACCUGACGGUGCUUUGGCACGCUGAUCAGGAUUGUAUUUUGCUUUAUUUGGAGACUAAUAAUAUAUAUACUAUAUCAAAAUCAAAAAAUGAUUCAUGCAAUUAUCUUAGGAGUGAAUGCUCCUCUACGGCACAAUUAGGGUUUUCUCAGGA